AUAACGGUCCUAAGGUAGCGAAAUUCCUUGUCGGGUAAGUUCCGACCUGCACGAAAGGCGCAACGACUUGGGCGCUGUCUCGACCAUGGACCCGGUGAAAUUGCACUGGUCGUGAAGAUGCGACUUACCCGCGGAAGGACGGAAAGACCCCGUGAACCUUCACUGCAGCUUGGCAUUGGCCGCUGGUCCCGCGUGUAGAGGAUAGGCAGGAGGCGAAGAUCCGGAGGCGCCAGCCCCCGGGGAGCCGCCCUUGGAAUACUGCCCUCGCGCGACCGGCGUCCUAACCCGAGGCCGUCAACCGGCUCGGGGACCGUGCCAGGCGGGCAGUUUGACUGGGGCGGUCGCCUCCUAAAGGGUAACGGAGGCGCGCGAAGGUCCGCUCGGGACGGUCGGCAACCGUCCUUUUGAAUGCAAGAGUACAAGCGGGCUUGACUGCGAGGCCCACAAGCCGAGCAGGUGCGAAAGCAGGCUCUAGUGAUCCGGCGGCCCCGAGUGGGUGGGCCGUCGCUCAACGGAUAAAAGGUACUCCGGGGAUAACAGGCUGAUCUUGCCCAAGAGUCCACAUCGACGGCAAGGUUUGGCACCUCGAUGUCGGCUCAUCGCAUCCUGGGGCUGGAGCAGGUCCCAAGGGUACGGCUGUUCGCCGUUUAAAGCGGUACGCGAGCUGGGUUCAGAACGUCGUGAGACAGUUCGGUCCCUAUCCUCCGUGGGCGCAGGAGAAUCGAUGGAGGCUGCCCCCAGUACGAGAGGACCGGGGUGGACGCACCUCCGGUGAACCGGUUGUCGACCAACGGCACGGCCGGGUAGCCGCGUGCGGCGCGGAUAACCGCUGAAGGCAUCUAAGCGGGAAGCCGUUCCAGGGAUUAGUUCUCCUUCCGGUAAGGGCCCAGGUAGACUACCUGGUCGAUAGACGGCAGGUGCAAGGACGGCGACGUCCUCAGCCGAGCCGCACUAAUCGCCCGAGCUCUUCCGGAA
rnacentral:rRNA from 1 species